rnacentral:rRNA from 1 species
UGGGGAAUUUUGGACAAUGGGCGCAAGCCUGAUCCAGCAAUGCCGCGUGCAGGAAGAAGGCCUUCGGGUUGUAAACUGCUUUUGUACGGAACGAAAAGGCUCUGGUUAAUACCUGGGGCACAUGACGGUACCGUAAGAAUAAGCACCGGCUAACUACGUGCCAGCAGCCGCGGUAAUACGUAGGGUGCAAGCGUUAAUCGGAAUUACUGGGCGUAAAGCGUGCGCAGGCGGUUUUGUAAGACAGGCGUGAAAUCCCCGGGCUUAACCUGGGAAUUGCGUUUGUGACUGCAAGGCUGGAGUGCGGCAGAGGGGGAUGGAAUUCCGCGUGUAGCAGUGAAAUGCGUAGAUAUGCGGAGGAACACCGAUGGCGAAGGCAAUCCCCUGGGCCUGCACUGACGCUCAUGCACGAAAGCGUGGGGAGCAAACAGG